rnacentral:rRNA from 1 species
GGCGACGGGCGCCCCCGGAGGCCUUCAAACACUGCAUCUUUGCGUCGGAGUAAAAGUUAAUUAAACAAAACUUUCAACAACGGAUCUCUUGGUUCUGGCAUCGAUGAAGAACGCAGCGAAAUGCGAUAAGUAAUGUGAAUUGCAGAAUUCAGUGAAUCAUCGAAUCUUUGAACGCACAUUGCGCCCUUUGGUAUUCCGAAGGGCAUGCCUGUUCGAGCGUCAUUUCACCACUCAAGCCUCGCUUGGUAUUGGGCGCCGCGGUUUUCCGCGCGCCUCAAAGUUUCCGGCUGAGCUGUCCGUCUCUAAGCGUUGUGAUACAUAUUCGCUUCGGAGUGCGGGCGGUCGCGGCCGUUAAAUCUUUCACAAGG